UUUUGGUGGAAUAGUGCUAUUCCAAUGCUUAAUUUUAAAUUUAAUUAAAAUUAUAAAAUGAAUUAAAACUAAAUUAUAUAAAUAUAAUAUAUUAUAAUAUAUUAUUUUUAUUAUAAAAUUAUUAAUUGUACUAUAUUAAUACAUAUUUUUUAUAUUUAAAUAUUAUAAUAAAUUUUAUAAUAAAUUAUAUUUAAAUAUUAUAAUAAAUUAAAAUUUAAAGUUUGAUAUUUUAAAUUUUUAAAAUUUUAAAUUUGAUAUUUUAUUUUUUUAAAAUUUAAAUUUGAUCUUAAAUUUAAAGUUUGAAAUUUAAAUUUUAAAAUUUUGAAUUUAAAAUUUGAGAUUUUAAAUUUCAAAAUUUUAAAUUUAAAAGUUAAAAUUUUAAAUUUUAAAAUAUAAAUAUAAAAUAUAAAAAUUCAAAUUCUAAUAUAAAUAAAGGGAUAAUAUUAUUAUUUUUUAUUUAUAAUUACCCACUUUAAUUCUUAUUCUAUCUUAUCUAACCAAACGUUAUUUUUCUUAUUCACAGAAAUAACUCAAUUUUCAUCCAAACGCAAAAUUGAUUUAAUCCCCGCUUAUACUUUAAUUUAUACAUAUCCCUGGAAUACCCACUUUUUGCUUAUCCCCGAACCAAACGAUACCUUAGGGUACAACGGUUGUUUAACAUGAUUCAGAAUAAAAAAAUUCUAAGUUCGAGUCAUACCAGACUCAUAGUAUUAUUAAUUUUUUUAAUUUAAUUCAAGUUCACGUCAUAGGCCUACAAAAAAUGUUGAGACUGGGAGAGAGUGUUAAGUAUAUAAAUAUUUCAAUAUUAUUUUCUACCGGUAUAAACUUUU
rnacentral:lncRNA from 1 species